CCUCCAGCCUCUUCUCACACCUCCUAGCCUUUCCCCGCUGGACAUUGCUUCGAGACGUGAUGAACAACAACAGCCUCCAGCAUUUGCCACACCUCCGAGCCUCUCUCCUCGUCAUUUGCCCGGUGGACCCUGGACGAGGAGGACGUGAGGAAGAGGAGGUGAAGAUGAAGACGAGGAAUAAGUGGUUGUGCCGAUACGAAGGCAUGACUCUCCAACGGGUCACCUGCACAGCAAGAGCAAGAGCAAGACCGACAGCCCGCCUCGGCACCUCAGCCCGCCCCAAAGCUCCCUCCAUGGCCUCCUGCAGGGCUUGAGGUGCUCAGGCUCCCCACACUGCUGCCCCACGCAGUGCCAGGGCAGUGCCACACCUGUAAUCUGCGGCGCCAUGCCCGGUCUGAGGGCGCCGCUGGACUGUUGUGCCGAUACGAAGGCCUGACUCUCCAACGGGUCACCUGUACAGCAAGAGCAAGAGCAAGACAGCCAGCCCGCCUCGGCCCCUCAACCCGCCCCAAGGCUCCCUCCAUGGCCUCCUGCAGGGCUUGAGGUGGUCAGGCUCCCCAGAGUGCUGCCCCUCGCAGUGCCAGGGCAGUGCCACACCUGUAAGCUGCGGCGCCAUGCCCGGUUUGAGGGCGCCGCUGGCCUGUUGUGCCGAUACGAAGGCAUGACUCUCCAACGGGUCACCUGCACAGCAAGAGCAAGAGCAAGACCGACAGCCCGCCUCGGCACCUCAGCCCGCCCCAAAGCUCCCUCCAUGGCCUCCUGCAGGGCUUGAGGUGUUCAGGCUCCCCACACUGCUGCCCCACGCAGUGCCAGGGCACUGCCACACCUGUAAUCUGCGGCGCCAUGCCCGGUCUGAGGGCGCCGCUGGACUGGAGUUGCCGGAGCCAGUGUUGACGUCGGACAUGAUGCCACACUUUGAGGACGUAGCGAUCAUUCCUAACCCCGGGGAGCGCGCCGAGGCCAUGCGCCAGCUGAUCAACCGCCUGCCAACCGCCAACCGCCUGCUGCUACAAUACAUGUUCAAGCAUAUGGGACACAUCAUUGCAAGGCAUCUUGUCAGCCGUCCCAGCCUCUCUUCACCCUAUCCCCGCUGGACUCUGGGUAAAGAC